ensembl:lncRNA
CCCGGAAGGCGUGAGGGUGUCACAGUCCCUGGGAUGGCUGCUGUAGUCAAAUACCCUGCAGACAUUCGCAGGGUUCUGACAGGGAAGAGAGGAGGAGGAGCCCUUUAAGGCUUAAAGAGGCAGCCUGAGCAUAAGACGCACUAGAGCAUCUGACUCUCAGACUUGGCUUUGCCACUAGCGGGCUGUGUGAGUUUGGGCAAACCCCUUGGAAUCUCUGGGUCUCAGAGGUGAUCUUAACCCAAGGAUAGUCAGCUCCCUGGAAUCAUAUGCAAAAUCAAGCAGAAGUGUAUUUUUCUGGGGUAGAGGAUUCAUAGUAUUAAGUGGUUUUUUUAAAAGAAGGCUUAGAACUGGAAAAGGUUAAUUGGAACUGAACCAAAUGGUAUCUCGGGGCGCUUUAAUGGGCAGAAAAAGGAGAUACCAUUGCUGAGAAACCUGGCGGGGAAGUUUGCCCGACACCCUUUGCCCUACGCAGCCUAUUUGGCAGAGAGGCAGUUCUCCAAAUGACCGACAGAUGGCGUUAAACCUUCACUGUAGCUUUCCUGUUCUCCCCAAGACCUGCCAGCAAGCUGAACAACCACCCACUCUCUGCUCUGCGCUCCUCUACUCGUUGAAGAAGAGUCCCUUUGAGCUCAGAAAAAGUUGAGAAUCUAGCUAUUCAAAGGCUGAAUGAAGGAACCGAGGACUGAAGAAUGCAGAACUGGUGAAUGCGAAGCACUGGGAUUGGCAGUUGGGUGAAUCUGCAAAUGCAGAACUGGACGUGGAGGGCUGUUUGGACCUGCAGGAGCCCACCAGUUGGACUCAAAGAAACUGGUCACGUGGGGACUUGAAGAAUUGUGGAGUACAGAUUCUCUCUAAAGGGAUGGAUGCAAUGGGGUUCCAGCAGAUUGUUGCCAUGUGGAAUGCAAAUCCAGGAUCACUGGGUCUUCUGACUUCUCAAGAGAUACUUCAAAUACAGAUUUUAUAUGAAAUCUGAAUUUUAAAUGCUGGCAACUAAUUACAUUUAAACAGUGUUUGUGGGCCAAACAAAGAACAUGUGCUUGUGCAUAUGAUGUCUUGAAACCAGCUUGCAGCCCUCAGGGACUUGUGGGGUGGACGUGUGCCUCUUUCCUAAGUAAUUACCCAUGGGGGGGAAAUAUGUAAUCAUUUUGGAAUUGCUAUUGAACCAGUGCAAGUUCAUCAACUCAGCUCUAUAAAUCGUGAACCGUAAUUCAUGUGUGUGUGUGUGUGUGUAACCCCCUCUUCCCUGAUAGCUCAGUUGGUUAAGAAUCUGCCUGCAAUGCAGGAGACCCCAGUUCAGUUCCUGGAUUGGGAAGAUCCGCUGGAGAAGGGAUAGGCUACCCACUCCAUUAUCUUGGGCUUCCUUUGUGG